GACGAACGCUGGCGGCGUGCUUAACACAUGCAAGUCGAACGAUGAACCCGGAGCUUGCUCCGGUGGAUUAGUGGCGAACGGGUGAGUAACACGUGAGUAACCUGCCCUUGACUCUGGGAUAACUGCGGGAAACUGUAGCUAAUACCGGAUACGACCCUCGGCGGCAUCGCCAGGGGGUGGAAAGAAUUUCGGUCGAGGAUGGACUCGCGGCCUAUCAGCUAGUUGGUGAGGUAACGGCUCACCAAGGCGACGACGGGUAGCCGGCCUGAGAGGGGGACGGGCAACACUGGGACUGAGACACGGCCCAGACUCCUACGGGGGGCAGCAGUGGGGAAUAUUGCGCAAUGGGCGAAAGCCUGACGCAGCAACGCCGCGUGAGGGAUGACGGCCUUCGGGUUGUAAACCUCUUUCAGCAGGGAAGAAGCGAAAGUGAUGGUACCUGCAGAAGAAGCACCGGCUAACUACGUGCCAGCCGCCGCCGUAA
rnacentral:rRNA from 1 species